AUUGAACGCUGGCGGCAGGCCUAACACAUGCAAGUCGAGCGGAUGAGAGGAGCUUGCUUCUCGAUUCAGCGGCGGACGGGUGAGUAAUGCCUAGGAAUCUGCCUGGUAGUGGGGGACAACGUUUCGAAAGGAACGCUAAUACCGCAUACGUCCUACGGGAGAAAGCAGGGGACCUUCGGGCCUUGCGCUAUCAGAUGAGCCUAGGUCGGAUUAGCUAGUUGGUGAGGUAAUGGCUCACCAAGGCGACGAUCCGUAACUGGUCUGAGAGGAUGAUCCGUCACACUGGAACCGAGACACGGUCCAGACUCCUACGGGAGGCGGCAGUGGGGAAUAUUGGACAAUAGGCGAAAGCCUGAUCCAGCCAUGCCGCGUGUGUGAAGAAGGUCUUCGGAUUGUAAAGCACUUUAAGUUGGGAGGAAGGGUUGUAGAUUAAUACUCUGCAAUUUUGACGUUACCGACAGAAUAAGCACCGGCUAACUCUGUGCCAGCAGCCGCCGUAACAC
rnacentral:rRNA from 1 species